AUGGGGAAGCAAGCAGCAGCAGCUCAACAGCAAGAGUCACAAAGAGAUGAAGAGGUUGAGGAGAGGCUGCUGGGCCUGGGGAGCUGGGGUUACCUGCUUGACCGUGAUUGUCAUUGGGAAGAGAGGCUGCUGCGCUUGGCAAACAGCGCCGGCCGAGUCCAGGUGGCAGCGGCCGGCGGCGCUGUGUUCGCUAGAGCCAGGAGGAGCUCGUUCGUUUUUGUGGCGAGCAUAUGUGGGAGCCUGACAAAUAAUUUGUAUUCGGGCCGAGGCUGUUAUUGGGCCUCCCGAGUCCCCAGCGUAUCCACGUACCCCAACCAGUGUCCUUGGUUUUUUUAA
rnacentral:rRNA from 1 species